UAAUUUUGUGUAAUCGUAUCAAUUAAUCAUGCAACAAACCAAUGAGCCUAAAAAGAAUAUCUCUCUCAUAACAAAGCCACCUUUGUGAGAAACAUUUAUAUUUAUAGUUGGUACCAGCCUUCACUUUGUUUAUACUUCCUUUUCUCUCUUACAUUUUUAAAGAUCUUCGUUGAUUACUUGUUUCUCCAUUACCAACUCUCAGAAUGGAACAAGUUGUGGGUAAACAACUCAACCGAUGGUUAUUGGGAUGUUAAUUGGAGGCGCUCGUUAUUCCUUUGGGAGUUUAACACAUGCUUCGGGAGUUGUUGGAGGAUUUGGACGGAUAUAGAAGAAGGCAAGGUGAGGAUGUAUGGUGGUGGGGAUUGGAAGAGAACGGUUGGUUCUCGGUGAACUCUAUGUACAAGAAGUUGGAGGGGAUGCGGUUUGAGGAGGGAUCGCUAACAGAGAUGCGAGUCAAGGUGUUUACGCAUAUUUGGAAGAGUUCAGCUCCGUCCAAAGUGGUGGCUGAGGCUGGGGUAUGCCGAGUUUACAUUUGCUGCUGUCUGCGCUUUUCUUUAGGAAGUGUUUUCUGUUGUGAGUGGUUUUAGCAGGAGAUAUAUAACAGCAUCAGUAUUGUGCCUCUGCUACUGGUGUAUCUUUUGCGGUUUCCACGGCUAGGAGUUCUUUGGCCGCUCAGGCUCUUGGGUUUAUAGGUUUCCGGUUAUUUCAGUGCCUUUUUAAUUGUCUUUAUUUCGCUGCGAGUAUUUUGGUGCAACUUGCACUUGCUCGACGAGAAUAAAUUUGAUAACAAACUAAGUGUGUCUCUAGAUGAGUUGAAUAAUAUUAGUUAAACUGAAUAUAUGAAUCUCUUAAUUUUGUUUUAAGCUGACCAAAGAAAUCAUUUUUUAUGAUUCUAUUAUUUAUAUCAAUAAGCUUCAAAAUGAAGCUAAGAGACUCAAGAGUCACACCCAUGCUUCAAGAUUUGGAAGCAAAAAGAAAAGUCAGAGGAAAGAGCAACCCUGAAUAUAGAUGAAUUUUAUGUUGCUGAAAAGAUCAAGAAAUGGGGGAUACAAGUUUUGUACAAGAGCAAUGCAAUAUAGUGUGACAAAACUGACCAAUCACAUGUUGCUGUUUGGCGGAAUACAAGGAGGAAAAAACGGAAGUUAAGAAAUAAACUCCAAUUAAAACUGGCCAGCUACUGUCGCUAUGCAAUCGCUAUACACUCCCUCGCGAGAAAUAGCAUUUCUCUUUGUACAAAUGAAUUUGUUUUAUUAAUUAACUGUAUGAACUCUUAUCUAUAACUGCUAGUGUUAAUUAGUAAUCUUUGUGUGGUUACUUUCUAUAGGAAGAGGUUCAAAAAAUAAAUGGACGCUAUGAAUGAAGUAGGGUUUGAAAUGAUAGAAGCCAAUGUUACAACCAUUCAAGUGAGCCUAGAAAAAGGAAUGGGAGGUGAACUACUUGAUGUUCAUCAAACCAAAAAUUGGUUGACAUGUAUAAUCAAGAAAUACAGUUUUGCUUGCAUGCCGCAAUUUAAAACCGUGGUAUAUAUGCUUCUGUGAGAGACAAGAUAGUGUAUGCAUGGAAUGUUGACAGUGUCACACUUGCUAGUUACACAACAUAAAUGAUGAUCAUUUGAAAAGGGAAAGUGAUUGGGAUUGUGUUUGAAGUCUUCAAGCUCGCCUUUGUGCGCUAUUUGCAAAGAAGAGGGGGAUGAUACACUCCACUUAAUUUCAGGAGUUUGGUACAAAUAUUCAGCAGGUUAUGUUCACUGUCAUGAGGAUGAGAGGAUCCUCAAUGCAGAAAUAACUUCUUUUUUGGCCGUUUUUAUGUGGAGCAAUUGGAAGAGUCGUAAACUUUGCGUUUGGGAGAGUCAUACCAUCAUAUUUUAUGUGUGUCGUUCACUUAAAUCAGAGCUGGAAAACGGCCCAGAAUAGAUGCAGGUCCAGCACCAGUAGAACAGUCUAGUCUUGACAUCAGAGUUCAGAGUUGAUGAAGGAGAAGUGGUCUAUUAUCCUUCAUUCAUUGGGUUCACCAUUUGCACUUGGAUGAAGUUACUUUUUUAACAUAGCUUCUAUGUGUUUGGUGCGAUUAUAUCUGAUUGAAGGCGUAUGUAUGCCCUCUAUUUCAAUAACUCUAGUGUUGAGUUUAUUAGAUGACGUGUAGAUGGGGUAGUUCAUGCUUUAGCAAGGAUGGUGUCGGUCUUUUUAUUGAUACAC